rnacentral:rRNA from 1 species
UGGGGAAUAUUGGACAAUGGGGGCAACCCUGAUCCAGCAAUGCCGCGUGUGUGAAGAAGGUUUUCGGAUUGUAAAGCACUUUCGGCGGGGACGAUGAUGACGGUACCCGCAGAAGAAGCCCCGGCUAACUUCGUGCCAGCAGCCGCGGUAAUACGAAGGGGGCUAGCGUUGCUCGGAAUGACUGGGCGUAAAGGGCGUGUAGGCGGUUUGUACAGUCAGAUGUGAAAUCCCCGGGCUUAACCUGGGAGCUGCAUUUGAUACGUGCAGACUAGAGUGUGAGAGAGGGUUGUGGAAUUCCCAGUGUAGAGGUGAAAUUCGUAGAUAUUGGGAAGAACACCGGUGGCGAAGGCGGCAACCUGGCUCAUGACUGACGCUGAGGCGCGAAAGCGUGGGGA